CGAAAUGCGAUAAGUAGUGUGAAUUGCAGAAUUCAGUGAAUCAUCGAAUCUUUGAACGCACAUUGCGCCCUUUGGUAUUCCAAAGGGCAUGCCUGUUCGAGCGUCAUUUGUACCCUCAAGCUUUGCUUGGUGUUGGGCGUCUUGUCUCUAGCUUUGCUGGAGACUCGCCUUAAAGUAAUUGGCAGCCGGCCUACUGGUUUCGGAGCGCAGCACAAGUCGCACUCUCUAUCAGCAAAGGUCUAGCAUCCAUUAAGCCUUUUUUUCAACUUUUGACCUCGGAUCAGGUAGGGAUACCCGCUGAACUUAAGC
rnacentral:misc_RNA from 1 species